UAGCUCAAUUGGAUAGAGCGCCACGCUUCGGACGUGGAGGUUCCGGGUUCGAAUCCUGG
rnacentral:tRNA from 1 species